AGGUAGGGAUACCCGCUGAACUUAAGCAUAUC
rnacentral:rRNA from 1 species